rnacentral:lncRNA from 1 species
GUGGGGACACUUAAAAUGAAUGAAUGAAAUUAAAAAGAAAAGAGAAAAUCUAAAAUUUAUAAACUGUUUAAAAGAAGAAAGAAAUUGAAGUGAACUGAAAUAAAAGACAAUAGAACUCUAAACUACCUAAAACAACAACAGAACCUAUGCAAUUAAAAUGAUCUAAAACUAAUGAAUCCAAAUAUACAAAUUAAAGAAACCCAAUGCUAAACAUAUGAAAUCAAUUGACAAAUAAAUCUCCUAGUUGUAUGCCUAUUCUAAAAAAUGUAAAUGUAAGGACUAGAUCGUCACAGAACAGAACCAAAUGGAAGGUAAAGUAAAAAUCACAAUCAGCACUAAGACUAUUUUAACAUCAAUUCAACAAAAAUACUAAAAAAUAAAAC